rnacentral:lncRNA from 1 species
UCACGGCGUGACUUGGUGCCCGGAAUCGUGGCUGUGAUGAAUAGCUGGAACGACAGGCAUUGAAGAGACACGUUGAUUGCGGCGCCUAGGGUUUCUGAAACCCUAGGCUUCUCUGUCUUCUGUUUAGCAACUUGGGCCAUUUGGGCCCCGUUUAUUGUUGGGUUAAAAUGUAAUGGGGUAAUAUGUUAAUUGGAUCUUGUACGGGUUAUUGGGUAGUUUUAGCUGGGUUACGGGUUAGUGGCAUUUGGGCUGCUUAUUGUAACUGGACUUUAAUAAAUAAACAUUUAUUCAUUUUUUUUGUUUCUGAUUUUAAGGCCCGAAUAAAUUUGAGUUAUUACAGCUGCCCCUCUUUGCUCAUUGCUAUGUAAUAGAAAUCGAGCAAAAACUCAUAGAAAGACCAAAUUUGCCCGGCCUUAUCGGAUCAUGGUCCUUAAUCUGCUUAUUGCAAACUCAAAACUGUCAUGUUGAUAUCUUCGAUCUGCUCUCCGUCGAACACAGAGACAUCAAAUCUACUAUCUUCGAUUUGCUCUCUGCCAAUACAGAGAUGCCAAAUCAUCUUAGAUUUGUUUCAGCGUAAGCACACAAAAGCCAAAUCAGCUAUGUCUUCGAUUUGCUCCUUGUAAGCACAAGGAUACCAAACCAUCCUGGAUCUGCUCCAGUCUAAUCGUCUGAAGGCCAGAUCUGCUAUGUGUCUGCUCUCCGUCGAAUAUGGAGACGCCAAACUUCGAUUUGUUCUCUGACAAUACAGAGAUGCCAAAUCAUCUUAGAUUUGCUUCAUCGCAAGCACGUGAAAGCCAAAUCAGCUAUGUCUUCGAUUUGUUCCUUGUAAGCACAAGAAUGCCAAAGCAUCUUGGAUCUUGCUUCAGUAUAAACAUCUGAAGGCCAAAUCUGCUAUGUGUCUGCUCUCCAUCGAAUAUGGAGAUGCCAAACUUCGAUUUGUUCUCUGACAAUACAGAGAUGCCAAAUCAUCUUAGAUUUGCUUCAUCGUAAGCACGUGAAAGCCAAAUCAGCUAUGUCUUCGAUUUGUUCCUUGUAAGCACAGGAUGCCAAAUCAUCUUGGAUCUUGCUUCAGUAUAAACAUCUGAAGGCUAGAUCUGCUAUGUAUCUGCUCCCCGUCGAAGUGGAGAUGCCAGACUUUGAUUUGUUCUCUGCCAAUACAGAGAUGCCAAAUCAUCUUAGAUUUGCUUCAUCGUAAACACGUGAAAGCCAAAUCAGCUAUGUCUUCGAUUUGUUCCUUGUAAGCACAAGGAUGCCAAAUCAUCUUGGAUCUUGCUUCAGUAUAAACAUCUGAAGGCCAAAUCUGUUAUGCUGCGGCCUAUUACCCUACUGCUUAGGGGAUUAAGGCACGUCGUCUUUGAUAACCUGUAGAAUGAUUAUGCCUGAUAAUUAGGAUGCUAUGAUCGAAGUGAGUCGGAUGUUCCUAAUUAAACAUGUUGUGUUGCAAAAUGUUGUGAACAUGACUCCUAUCCUAGACGUUACCACUCAUUCCUUCAUUUGUCUUUUCUUUUCUCAAAGUAUUAUUCUUGCUCAGCCUGUAGGCCUGUACUCCCUCCUCCAAUGCUACGAUCUACUGAAGAUGUCUGUAAGAUAAUCUUUCCUUGGAAUUGAAUCGUUGGUUUUGUCUAUUUUCCUUUUGGACUGGAAGAAAGAAAUUCCUCAAGUUCCUUCAUUCCUUAUUUACGUGAAUUUCUCGAACAAUUGUCCUGUUUUAGUUUCUUGUAUUAUCUAGAAAUUCCAGAGUAAUGCGCAAAACUUCGUUUGUGAACAUAUUUAGUUCAUCUAUCAUUAUUUCAAUGCAACAUACUUGAAGAACAAUAGAAGAUGAAUAAACUCUAAGAAUAAUUGGAAUUGAAUGAAUUAUCGAAAAAGAUACAAAGGAAAUUAAUCUGAAAGCCUAUCUUUGAGAAGAGAAAAAAAAUCUAAAGAUAGCAAACAGGCAAAAAUCAGAUGCCCUAGACAUCGCCGCUUGAGCGCUUAUAUAUCAACUUCAUGAAAGCAUGUGUUUAGAAGAUUCAAAGUACUCUGUCGAUGCCCCAGUAUGUAACGUUCUUCGUUCUUUGUUGAGCAAAAUUACCGGAUGCUUCAAAAUUUGAGUCGCUCUUUCGGGUUUUCAACUCAAAAACCCCUUUGGUCACAAGGCGCCUUUUGCGGGUUUUCACCUUGGCCUCUCUAUUUUUUUUUUAAUUUUUGAAACCUCAAAGCGUCCUUUGUGGGUUUUCACCUUGGAUUCUCUUCUCCUUUAGACAGUAUUUUUUAACUGAGUCUGAGUUCAAUGGAUUGGGUAAACUUUUCCCAUCCAUUUUCGUUAAGAUCAAUGCACCACCAGAGAAAGCUUUCUUCACGACGUAUGGCCCCUCCUAAUUUGGCAUCCAUUUCCCCCUAAAGUUUUUUUGAAUGGGAAUGAUCUUUUUCAGUACAAGGUUUCCUUCGUGGAACUCUCUUGGUCGAACUUUCUUAUCAUAAGCUCGUAUCAUUCGCUUCUGAUACAUCUGACCAUGUUGAAUGGCUCUUAGCCUCUUUUCCUCAAUCAAGUUCAACUGGUCAUAUCGGGAUUGAACCCAUUCAGCUUCAUCUAACCUUAUCUUCGUCAAAAUUCGAAGAGAAGGUAUUUCUACUUUAAUAGGUAACACUACUUCCAUCCCAUAAACUAACGAGAAUGGGGUUGCCCCAGUAGAGGUUCUAACAGAUGUUCGAUAGGCCAGGAGUGCAAACGGUAACUUCUCAUGCCAAUCUCUAUAGGUCUCAGUCAUCUUCCCCACUAUUUUCUUAAUGUUCUUGUUGGCGGCCUCCACUACCCCAUUCAUUUUUAGACGAUAAGGAGAAGAAUUGUGAUGCUUGAUCUUGAACUGGUCGCAAACCUCUGCUAUUUUUUUGUUGUUCAAGUUCAAUGCAUUAUCGGAUAUGAUCCUUUCAGGCAUUCCAUACCGACAAAUGAUCUCUUUCUUUAAGAAUCAACUCAUAGCUGACUUAGUAGCAUUCGCAUAAGAAGCGGCCUCUACCCAUUUUGUAAAGUAGUCAAUUACCACGAAGAUAAACCGAUGUCCAUUCGAAGCUUUCGGUGCUAUUGGUCCAAUGACAUCCAUGCCCCACAUGGAGAAGGGCCAUGGAGAAGUCAUAAUGUGCAAAGGUGAAGGUGGUACAUGUAUCUUGUCUCCAUAAAUCUAGCAUUUAUGGCAUUUCUUGGUAUAGUUGAUACAGUCCCCUUCCAUAGUGGCCCAAUAAUAGCCAAACCUCAUUAUUUUCCUUGCCUUUGUGAACCCAUUUGCAUGGGUCCUACAUACACCUUCAUGAAUUCUUCUAAAAUUAGCUUAGCUUCCACAGCAUUGACACAUCUCAAGAGUACUUGGUCUUUCCUUCUCUUGUAUAAGAUCUCCCCGUCCAAGACAUAGUCGCAAGCUAACCUUCUCAAAGUUCUUUUGUCAUUUUCAUUAGCCUGUUCAGGGUAUUUACGAUCUCUCACAUAUCGUAAUAUAUCCUGAUACCAAGGGUUAUCAUUCUUUUCUUCCUUCUCAAUGUUGCAACAAUGAGCUAGAGCCUCGUAGACGCUUAUUUGAAUUGGUCUCAUCUCUUCUUCUUUAUUUGCCUUAAUCAUGGAGGCCAAGGUUGCUAAAGCAUCUGCCAUCUGAUUUUCGUCUCGUGGGAGAUAAUUGAAGGUGAUAUCAUCAAACUCCUCAAGUAACCCCAAAACUACCUUUCGAUAAUUGAUCAAUUUGGGGUCCCCUGUCUCCCAUUCGCCUCUAAGCUGAUAAAUUACCAACGCAGAAUCUCCAUAUACUUUUAGGGUUUUUAUACCUCGCUCUAUAGCUACUUAAAGUCCCAUGAUGCACGCUUCAUACUCAGCCAUAUUGUUCGUGCAAUCAAAGUCCAACUUGCACGUGAACGGGUAAUGAUCACCAUUUGGGGAUACCAAGACUGCCCCAAUUCCAUUUCCAACUGCAUUAGAAGCCCCAUCAAACUUUAGCUUCCAAAGAGAAUCUUCAGUUGUUGCUAUACACAUUAACUCCUCAUUUGGAAAAUCAAAAUUCAAUGGCUCAUAAUCCUCUAGAGCCCUACUGGCCAAGAAGUCUACUACCGUACUUCCUUUUAUAGCCUUCUGACUUAUGUAGACUAUAUCAAACUCUGAAAGCAAAAUUUGCUAUCUCGCCAUUCUCCCAUUUAGAGCCGUUGACUCUAUCAUGUAUUUCAAUGGAUCAAGCUUUGAGAUGAGCCAAGUGGUAUGGUAUAGCAUGUACUGUCUUAAUCUCCAAGUUGUCCAAAUCAGCGCACAGCACAACUUUUCAAUCGGUGAAUAUCUCAUCUCACAGUCAAUGAAUUUCUUACUGAGAUAAUAAAUUGCCUUCUCCCAUUUCCCUGACUCGUCAUACUGACCAAGCACACAUCCUAUAGAAUUACUGAACACUGACAAGUAUAGUAUUAACGGUUUGUCUGAGCUUGGUGGAGAUAAUACUGGAGCAUUCAACAAAUACUGUUUGACCUUUUCAAAAGCAUUCUGACACUCCUCAUCCCAAGUACCUUAAUUGUGCUUUCUGAGGAGGCGAAAGAUAGGAUCGCAUUUCUCGGUCAGUUGUGAAAUGAACCGAGCGAUGUAAUUCAACCUUCCUAGGAAUCAUCGAACUUCCUUCUGAGUACGUGAUGGAGGUAAAUCUUGUAUUGCCCUGACUUUGUCUGAAUCAACUUCUAUUCCUUUUUCACUAACUACGAAAUCCAAUAGUUUUCCCGAUCUAGCUCCAAAGGUACACUUUGCUGGAUUGAACUUCAAUUGAAGUUUUCUCAAUCUCAAGAACAAUCUUCUCAAGACCUCAAUAUGCUCUUUCUCUGUUCGCGACUUGGCAAUCAUAUCAUCAACGUAUACCUCAAUAUCCUUAUGCAUCAUAUCGUGGAAUAAGUUUACCAUGGCUCGUUGGUAUGUUGCCCAUGAAUUCUUUAGUCCAAAUGGCAUUACUUUGUAGCAGAAGGUGCCCCAAAAGGUUAUGAAGGUGGUUUUAUCCAUGUCCUUUGGAUGCAUCUUUAUCUAAUUGUAUCUUGAGAAACCAUCUAUGAAGGAAAACAACGAAUAUCCUGUUGUGUUGUCCACCAAAGUGUUUAUGUGUGGCAGAGGGAAAUUAUCUUUGGGGCUAGCUUUAUUUAAAUCUCUGUAAUCAACACACAUUCGUACCUUCCCAUCUUUCUUAGGAACUGGUACAAUGUUAGCUACCCAUUCGGAGUACUUAACUUCCUGCAAGAAUCCUGCAUCGAACUGCUUCUUGACUUCAUCCUUUAUUUUCAGAACAAUAUCUGGCCUCAUUCUUCGUAACUUCUGUUGGACUGGCUUACAAUCCUAUCUUAUCGGAAGACGAUGUACUACAAUGUCAGUACUCAAUCUGGGCAUAUCCUGAUAUGACCAGGCGAAGAUAUCCUUGAACUCUUGAAGCAACUCAACCAGACAAUGCCUUGUAUCCUCGGUAAUCAGUGUUCCAAUUUUCAACUCCUUCCCUUCCUCUAGGGCUAUAUUCUCUAUUGCCUCUUUCUCAUGUGACAUGAUUUGUUUAUCCUCUUACUUUACCAUUCUUAACAGAUCAAGAGAUACGUCACAAUCUUGAACAUCUUCAAAAUCCUGAGGUUCCUCUAAACACAUGUCUUGUUUGCAAAAGAAAUCAGGAGCUGCAGUAUCAGUGCUCAUAUCAUUGAUAUAUAGGGACCUGUGGGGUUAUGAAAGAAUAUACGAAGAAUGAAUGAAUCUAAGAAUGAUUGUUUAUGUGCUAUGAAUAAAAGAAUAAGAAUUGCCAAAAUUUAAAGGAAUAUUGGUUGAUAAAAAUGAUACAAUACUCGUUUAAAUUGAUAAAAGUUAUGUUUUAUUUAAAUAAUAAUAGAUGAACAUAAGCCUAUUUUCACAAACGUAAUCUUACUACUCCUAGGCCCUAAAGUAACAGACAUGUUUCGAGAAUUACUCUGAAAAAUUCCUAAAGACUACAAGAAGGUCCUCCGCAGUCCAAUUGUUCAGAGAGCUCCCCGAUUCGUAAGGGCGAAUGCCCUCGAGGCCUCCUUACUCCAAUCCCUCAUCGUGUACAGCAUUAAUUUGAUGUAACGCCCCAAUUUUCGGGAAUUCUGUGAAUGUUGGCAUAAGUUUAAUUAUGUUAGUGGGCCUCUAGAAAGCCAAGCUUAAGAUAGAACUCGACAAUUUUAGUUAAUUUUUGUUCCAUAAGAAAAAGGGGGUGAAAUUAUGAAAUAGAACCGAUGUGAAAAUGUUUGAAAAUGCUAUAGGCUAAAUUGAAGUGGCCAAAUAAAUAGGAGUGCAAAAUAGAAUGAUUUGCAUGACAAACAUCCCAUUUUACAUGAAGUGGCCAGCCAUCAUGUUGUUGUAGACAAUAUGAGCAUUUGAUAUCCAUAAUUUAUGGUACAAAUUGAUACAAAUUGAUAAUGGGUUAGGUAAAUGUUCCAUGAUAAUGGAUUAGGUAAAUAUUGUUAGGUAAAUGUUCCAUGAUAAUGAUUUAGGUAAAUGUUCUAUGAUGGGCAUUUCAUGUCUUUUGUAUUAAAGAAUUAAAUGGAUGAAAUAUGAAAUUUUAUUAAAAGAAAAAGGGGUGAAAAGAAAAAAGUUUAGUCCAUCUUUGUUCAUCAUAGCCUAAAGUUAGAGAAGAGAAAGGAGAGGAGAAAGCUCUUAAAUGUUCGGUCACUUGGAGAAGAAAAUUGAAGGUAAGUUCAUGGUAGUUUGCUUCUAUCUUGAUGUUCAUGAGUUCUUCUUGAUUCUACCUUAACUCUUGAAGCAUAUUUUGGUUUUUGGUUGUGUUGUGAGCAUUUGGUCAUGAAUUAAAAUGAAGGAAAUGGUUUUUGUUUCAUGUUCUUUUGAUGAAAAAUGGAAGAUAGGUGAAGUUGAGCCAAACAAAUGAGCAUGCAUGUGCCUUAGAUGCUAAGGGGAAAAAUUGGCUAGCAUGUUGUGCUUUAAAAUGAUGAAAUGGAGAUUAUACUUAAGUAAAAUCAUAGAUAUGUGAUGAUUGAUUGGUGAUAUACAUGUUUAAAUAACAAGCAUGCAAGUUAGGUGUGAAAGAGUGAAUUUGGUAAUAAAUCUGCUUGGGACAGCAGCAGUAACGUGACUUUGGAAAAUAAUCAUAAAUUGUGAGAGAUGAAUUAGAAGCUGAAUAAAUUAUGUAAUUAAAGCUUGUUGAGUCUAGUUUCAAAUGAAAUAAAUGAGACAUAUUUUGAAUUCUGUACAAUGAGAAAUUUGAUUCGUAAUGAAGAGUGGUCAGAUUAGUCAAACAGUGAAACAUGAGAAAAUUUAAGAAAAAUCUGGUAUUGAUUGGCUAAACCAAAAAUUCAGAAAAUUUUAUGGAUAUAAGAUAUAUGAGUCUAUUUUUAGGUAAAAUUAAUGGCACUUGAUUUGGAGUUUCGUAGCUCCAGUUAUAAAUGAUUUAGUGAUUGCUGUUCAGGAAGACAGCUUGCAGUGAGAUUAUGAUUAUGUGGUAAACAUUGACAAAAAUUUGUUAAUGAGUUGCUUAUUGAUUUCUUAUAAGCUUACUAUGAUCUGUAGGUGUAGUUGGCUGAAUAUUGUAAGGGAUUAAUACGUAGUUUGUAUUUGAAUAGUUAGAUUAACGUGUUAGUAAUCCAAUUGUAGGCGGUUCGUGUGUGGAUCUUGUCAGCAUAUCGUCGCAAACAGGUGUGUAACUAACACCCUCUUUCUUAGUCUAGAUCGGCAAAAGUCGAAAAGCCAAAAUGCCGAAAAUCGGUAUUUUGUAGAUUUGCGAGUGUGCGAAUGCUCGUGAGGUAAAUCGAUUAAUGUUUUUGGUAAGCUACAAAAUUUGGACUGCAAAGUGCAUGAUUUCUGUGCCAUUGAUAUUUUUGGGCUUAAUGGGCCAAAAUUGAAAUGAUGGGCCAACGGACCCAAUUCGGUAAGAAUCCUCGGUAUGUGAUUCUGUUAGUACGUGAAAAGUAUGACUAUGCAUGAAAAACCCUAAAAUAGAUAAAUAACUGAAAUACCUUUAAAAGUGGAAAAUUUACAGUUUUACCCCUAGUAGGUAAAUUACCGAAAUACCCCUAGGGUUAAGUUGACCUAAAUGCAUGUUUGACUGUUGUUAUUUACUGCAUGUCAUGUUGUUAUUAUCUGAUGCAUGGGAUUGGGAUAUUGACGGAGGAAGUACUGAAAGUGGCUUGUCCAUGUACUGGAGGUUUUGCCUCAAUUUACUGUUAACUGAGCAGCAAGGCUGCAACUGUGGAGUGUUGGGCUGGGUAGGUUAAGCUAUUCCCCACAUGGAGUGUAUGGCUGGUACGGGUGGAGUGUAGUGGUUGGUGGGUUGAGUAGUCUCCCCAAAUGGGCUUGCAUAUGUUUACUGAUGUUGCAUGUAUUUUGAAAUGGGCCUAUGGGCCAUACUGUUAUCUGAAUAAUGGGCUAAGGCCUAGUUUAUUGUAAUCUGAAAAGGGCUCUGGCCCAGUACCACUGUUACCUGAAUGGGCUUAGGCCGAAUAGGCUUGAGCUGACUUGGGCUUUGAAUGGGUUUUCCUUACACACUGAGUUUCCCCAAACUCACCCCUUUUAUUUUCAUCCACGCAGGAAAUCCCCAACCAUAGUGGGCUUGGAGCUGUGAGGGAAUUCGGAGUGGCCACCCGUUCUGAAAGUUUGAUUUUCUUCUGGUGAACUGGACAUCCUUUUAAUUACGUUUGAGGUUUUGGGCUUUUAAAUGUAAUAAGACCGCUUAUUUAUUUUUGAUGGUUUUUAUAUGUUUUAUUAAGAUAGGUAAUAUUUAUAUUUAACUGUUGAAAUUGGAUAGCUUUAAGGCGCGUUUUCAAAAACAGUAAUUGUUUUCAAAAUAACACGAAAACAAGCAAAGCUUCCGCAAUGAAGAUUUUUUCCAAAAUUAAUCACUUUUCCUAAAAAGGACUUAAUCAAAUCGGUUUCCUAGAAAUAUACAUGAUGUUAAGGUAUGGCAAUGGUGGUUUGCAUGUCUAAGAUUAGAUUCGAAGAGAGUUUGGUACUUAAGCAGUCCGAUGGACUCACCUCCUCUUUUCCGGUUUCCUACCUGGUGCAUAGCUUCCAUUCACUUUAACCUAUGAUGAAAUUAUCUUUUAAAACACUAAGUAAGUUUUUCUGGAUCAAUAAUAUAAAAUGUUUUGAACGUUCGAUGUGGCAUGUCAGAUCCGGUCAUAACGUCUGGGCCGGGUUUUGGGUGUUACAUUUAGUGGUAUCAGAGCCUAGGUUGCAAAAACUCGGCUGUGGAAUGGGUUUACAAAAACAAAGAUUUUCGAAAAUGAAAAUUUUAUAAAGAAUGCGAAAAACUCGAUUUUCAAAAUUUAGAUCUUUAGAAGGUGGCAUUCUGAAUCUCCGGCUCAAGUCUGUAAGUAUUAUUCUGAACUCUUCUGAAUAUUUUUUUGGCUUAUCUGUCUGUACUGAAAUUCUGCUAGGAUACUCUAGAUAGGAUGAUACUGAAACUAUAGGAAAAUCUGAUAAGAGACUGAAACUGUAGCUAGACUUCGAUUCUGCGAAAACAAACUCUGAACUACUGUCUGAUUCAUAAAACAUUUGUAAUAAACACUGGAAUAUUAAUUGAUGCAUAAAAAUUCGUAAUCAAGAUAAUACGAUAUGAGUACAAGAGGCCGUGGACGAAGCCGAAGAAGUGCUCGAGCGAGAUCUUCGUAUUCGAGACAUAUACCGGCGGUGGAUGCACCGGUACCACCUGCAACAGAGGUAGAGUCUCAUGACUGCAGUACUGGGGAUGAUGCCCUGCCACAGGCAAUGCUUCGUGUUUUGGAAAGGGUUACCGGGGCAAGUACGGGUAAUGGAGUUCGGGGAUCUAUUUUUGAACGACUUCGGGCUAACGGAGCGGAGAUCUUUAGGGGCGUGUCUGGUAUAGCCCCGAAUGUGGCGGAAAAUUGGUUAGAGGCCACAAGAAUGGAUUAUGGACAACUUGGACUGCUCUGAGGAGAUUGUGAGUGGGGUAUCUGUACUAAGUCAUUUGAGUCACUCGGUUAGGGUAGACAAACUGUAUAGGGAUGUACCCUUAGAAACUCAAGGUAAGAUUUUCCCUGGAGAUCUGAUGGAGUUACUGUUCGGAGAGUUUGAUCUCAUUUUGGGAAUGGACUGGCUUGUUAAACAUAAAGCGACUCUGGAUUGUGCUGUUAAACGAAUGGUGUUAAGGACCACAAAGGAUGAGGAGGUUAUGGUGAUAGGUGAGCGAAGGGAUUAUUUGUCCAAUGUGGUGUCGGCAUUAAGAGCAGAGAAGUGGAUUCGGAAAGGUUGUGAGGCCUAUUUGGCAUUUGUAAUCAGUCAGAAGUGGAGGGACUGGCAGUGGAUAAGGUUAGGACCGUAAAGGAGUUCCAAGAUGUUUUUUCGGAGGAGCUUCCAGGAUUGCCUCCGAACCGAGAAGUUGAGUUUGGAAUAGAUUUGUUGCCUGGAGCGGCACCUGUGUCCAUCGCACCGUAUAGGAUGGCACCGAAGGAGUUAGUGGAGUUAAAGGCUCAAAUUCAAGAGUUGUUGGAUAGGGGUUUCAUUAGGCCAAGCGUGUCUCCAUGGGGAGCACCGGUGCUAUUCGUGAAAAAGAAGGAUGGUACGAUGCGGAUGUGCAUUGAUUAUCGCCAGUUGAGCAAACUGACGAUUAAGAAUAAGUAUCCACUGCCAAGGAUUGAUGAUCUGUUCGACCAGCUUAGAGGAGCUUCGGUAUUUUCCAAGAUUGACCUUCGAUCUGGAUACCAUCAGUUAAGGGUAAAGGAAGUGGAUAUUCAUAAGACAGCAUUCAGGACUCGAUAUGGUCAUUACGAGUUCCUGGUUAUGCCAUUUGGGUUGACGAACGCACCUGCCGCUUUCAUGGAUCUAAUAAAUCGAGUGUUCUAACCUUACUUGGACCGAUUCGUGGUUGUUUUCAUCGAUGAUAUUCUGGUAUACUCGGAAACCGAGGAGAAACAUGAAGAGCAUCUACGUAUUGUGCUACAAGUACUGAGAGAGAAGGAACUGUAUGCAAAGUUUAGUAAGUGUGAAUUUUGGUUGCGAGAAGUGGCUUUUCUAGGUCAUGUGGUUUCUGUUGAAGGAAUUAGAGUGGAUCCUCGAAAAGUUGAGGCAGUUCUGGGAUGGAAGCCACCAAAAUCAGUAUCAGAAAUUCAGAGUUUUCUGGGUUUGGCAUGCUAUUACCGAAGGUUCGUAAAAGGAUUUUCUCUGAUUGCUGCAUCAUUGACGAAACUAUUAAGAAAAGGGGUAGCAUUUGUCUCGACUGAGAGUCUGCAAAAAGCUUUUGACCAUUUGAAAAAGGUAUUGACUAAAGCACCAGUGUUGAUUCAACCGGAGUCUGGGAAGGGCUUCACUGUGUACAGCGAUGCGUCACAUGUGGGGUUAGGAUGUGUACUGAUGCCAGAGGGUAAGGUGGUCGCUUAUGCUUCGCGGCAGCUUAAGUCUCAUGAAGCGAACUACCCUACGCAUGACUUAGAGCUAGCAGCAGUGAUCUUUGCGUUGAAAAUCUGGAGACAUUACUUAUAUGGAGAAAAGUGUAUCAUAUACACGGACCAUAAGAGCCUAAAGUAUCUGUUAACUCAGAAGGAGUUAAACCUUAGGCAACGAAGAUGGGUAGAGUUGCUUAAGGAUUAUGACUGUUCGAUUGAGUACCACCCAGGUAAGGCUAACAUGGUGGCUGAUGCAUUGAGUCGAAGGGUUGUUUCUGAUUUGAGAGCCUUGUUUGCACGUUUGAGUCUGUUUGAUGAUGGAAGCCUGUUAGCAGAAUUGCAAGUGAGGCCUAUUUGGACUGAACAGAUUAAAGAAAAACAGUUGAAGGAUAACUCGUUGGUUCUUCGAUUUCAGCAAGUUGAGAAGGGUGAGAAUGAGGAUUUUGGACUGAAUACUGAAUGAGUUUUAUGCUUCCGAGGAAGAAUUUGUGUUCUGAAAGACUCUGACUUGAGACAGUCAAUAUUGAAGGAAGCUCAUGGGGAACUUUGUGCCAUGCAUCCUGGAGGGAAUAAGUUGUAUCACGACUUGCGAGAACUGUACUGGUGGCCUGGGCUUAAACGAGAAGUAACGGAGUUCGUGGGGAAAUGUCUGACAUGCCAGCAAGUGAAAGCUGAACAUCAAUUUCCUUCUGGAUUACUGCAACCGGUGAAAAUUCCAUUGUGGAAGUGGGAGAGAGUCACUAUGGACUUUGUGAGUGGGCUACCUUUGACACCCACCAAGAAAGAUUCUGUGUGGGUAGUGGUGGAUAGGUUAACAAAAUCUACCCAUUUCAUACCAGUUCGUACUGAUUACUCCCUACAAAAGUUGGCUAGGUUGUAUGUGGCAGAGAUAGUGCGACUACAUGGAGUGCCAGUGUCGAUUAUUUCCGACUGAGACCCUAGGUUUACAUUUCGGUUCUGGAAGAGUUGCAGGAGGCAUUGGGUACACGUUUGGAUUUCAGUACUGCCUUUCACCCACAGACAGAUGGACAGUCGGAGAGGGUUAUUCAGAUUUUGGAGGAUAUGUUAAGGGGUUGUAUCAUCGAUUUUCGUGGGAGUUGGGAGGACUACUUGCCAUUGGCGGAGUUUGCAUACAAUAACAGCUACCAAGUAAGUAUUCAGAUGGCUCCAUAUGAGGCACUUUACGGGCGGAGAUGUCGUACGCCUACAUGUUGGACAUAGUUGGGUGAACGACAAGUGCUUGGACCGGAGUUGGUGGCAGAUACUGAAAGUAAGGUUAAGUUGAUAAGAGAUCGAUUAAAGGAGGCAUCUGAUAGACAGAAGUCGUAUGCGAAUCUAAAGCGCAAAGAGAUAGAGUUCGCAGUUGAGGAUAUGGUUUUCUUAAAGGUUUCACCUUGGAAGAAGAUCUUGAGAUUCGAUAAGAAAGGUAAAUUGAGUCCGCGGUUUAUAGGGCCUUAUCGGGUUCUUAGGCGGGUAGGGCUAGUGGCGAAUCAGUUAGAGUUACCACCAGAGUUAGACAGAAUUCAAGACGUCUUUCAUGUGUCUAUGAUAAGACGAUAUCGAUCGGAUCCCUCACAUGUUGUGCCAGUAGAGGAGAUUGAAGUAAGGACUGAUUUGACCUUUGAGGAAGAACCCAUACAAAUUUUAGAUCGAGAGGUUAAAGUUCUAAGAAGGAAGUCGGUUCAAUUGGUAAAAGUACUGUGGCGUAAUCAUGGAAGGGAAGAAGCUACUUGGGAAUCAGAAGAGACUAUGCGUCAACAAUACCCUCAACUAUUUGGAUCAAGUAAAUUUCGAGGCCGAAAUUUCUUUAAGGGGGUAGAGUUGUAACGCCCCAAUUUUCGGGAAUUCUGUGAAUGUUGGCAUAAGUUUAAUUAUGUUAGUGGGCCUCUAGAAAGCCAAGCUUAAGAUAGAACCCGACAAUUUUAGUUAAUUUUUGUUCCAUAAGAAAAAGGGGGUGAAAUUAUGAAAUAGAACCUAUGUGAAAAUGUUUGAAAAUGCUAUAGGCUAAAUUGAAGUGGCCAAAUAAAUAGGAGUGCAAAAUAGAAUGAUUUGCAUGACAAACCUCCCAUUUUACAUGAAGUGGCCAGCCAUCAUGUUGUUGUAGACAAUAUGAGCACUUGAUAUCCAUAAUUUAUGGUACAAAUUGAUACAAAUUGAUAAUGGGUUAGGUAAAUGUUCCAUGAUAAUGGAUUAGGUAAAUAUUGUUAGGUAAAUGUUCCAUGAUAAUGGUUUAGGUAAAUGUUCCAUGAUGGGCAUUUCAUGUCUUUUGUAUUAAAGAAUUAAAUGGAUGAAAUAUGAAAUUUUAUUAAAAGAAAAAGGGGUGAAAAGAACAAAGUUUUGUCCAUCUUUGUUCAUUAUAGCCUAAAGUUAGAGAAGAGAAAGGAGAGGAGAAAGCUCUUGAAUGUUCGGUCACUUGGGGAAGAAAAUUGAAGGUAAGUUCAUGGUAGUUUGCUUCUAUCUUGAUGUUCAUGAGUUUUUCUUGAUUCUACCUUAACUCUUGAAGCAUAUUUUGGUUUUUGGUUGUGUUGUGAGCAUUUGGUCAUGAAUUAAAAUGAAGGAAAUGGUUGUUGUUUCAUGUUCUUUUGAUGAAAAAUGGAAGAUAGGUGAAGUUGAGCCAAACAAAUGAGCAUGCAUGUGCCUUCGAUGCUAAGGGGAAAAAUUGGCUAACAUGUUGUGCUUUAAAAUGAUGAAAUGGAGAUUAUACUUAAGUAAAAUCAUAGAUAUGUGAUGAUUGAUUGGUGAUAUACAUGUUUAAAUAACAAGCAUGCAAGUUAGGUGUGAAAGAGUGAAUUUGGUAAUAAAUCUGCUUGGGACAGCAGCAGUAACGUGACUUUGGAAAAUCAUCAUAAAUUGUGAGAGAUGAAUUAGAAGCUGAAUAAAUUAUGUAAUUAAAGAUUGUUGAGUCUAGUUUCAAAUGAAAUAAAUGAGAACAUAUUUUGAAUUCUGUACAAUGAGAAAUUUGAUUCGUAAUGAAGAGUGGUCAGAUUAGUCAAACAGUGAAACAUGGGAAACUUUAAGAAAAAUCUGGUAUUGAUUGGCUGAACGAAAAAUUCAAAAAAUUUUAUGGAUAGAAGAUAUACGAGUCUAUUUUCAGGUAAAAUUAACGGCACUUGAUUUGGAGUUUCGUAGCUCCAAGUAUAAAUGAUUUAGUGACUGUUGUUCAGGAAGACAGCUUGCAGUGAGAUUAUGAUUAUGUGGUAAACAUUGACAAAAAUUUGUUAAUGAGUUGCUUAUUGAUUUCUUAUAAGCUUACUAUGAUCUGUAGGUGUGGUUGGCCGAAUAUUGUAAGGGAUUAAUACGUAGUUUGUAUUUGAAUAGUUAGAUUAACGUGUUAGUAAUCCAAUUGUAGGCGGUUCGUGUGUGGAUCUUGUCAGCAUAUCAUCGCAAAUAGGUGUGUAAUUAACAACCUCUUUCUUAGUCUAGAUCGGCAAAAGUCGAAAAGCCGAAAUACCAAAAAUCGGUAUUUUGUAGAUUUGCGAGUGUGCGAAUGCUCGUGAGGUAAAUCGAUUAAUGUUUUUGGUAAGCUGCAAAAUUUGGACUGCAAAGUGCAUGAUUUCUGUGCCAUCGAUAUUUUUGGGCUUAAUGGGCCAAAAUUGGAAUGAUGGGCCAACGGGCCCAAUUCGGUAAGAACCAUCGGUAUGUGAUUCUGUUAGUACGUGAAAAGUAGGAAUAUGCAUGAAAAACCCUAAAAUAGAUAAAUAACUAAAAUACCUUUAAAAGUGGAAAAUUUACAGUUUUACCCCUAGUAGAUAAAUUACCGAAAUACCCCUAGGGUUAAAUUGACCUAAAUGCAUGUUUGACUGUUGUUAUUUACUGCAUGCCAUGUUGUUAUUAUCUGAUGUAUGGGAUUGGGAUAUUGACGGAGGAAGAACUGAAAGUGGCAUUUCCACGUACGGGAGGCUUUGCCUCAAUUUACUGUUAACUGAGCAGCAAGGCUGCAACUGUGGAGUGUUAGGCUGGGUGGGUUGAGCUAUUCCCCACAUUGAGUGUAUGGCUAGUACGGGUGGAGUGUAGUGGUUGGUGGGUUGAGUAGUCUCCCCAAAUGGGCUUGUAUAUGUUUACUGAUGUUGCAUGUAUUUUGAAAUGGGCCUAUGGGCCAUACUGUUAUCUGAAUAAGGGGCUAAGGCCCAGUUUAUUGUAAUCUGAAAAGGGCUCUGGCCCAGUACCACUGUUACCUGAAUGGGCUUAGGCCCAAUAGGCUUGAGCUGACUUGGGCUUUGAAUGGGUUUUCCUUACACACUGAGUUUCCCCAAACUCACCCCUUUUAUUUUCAUCCACGCAGGAAAUCCCCAACCAUAGUGGGCUUGGAGCUGUGAGGGAAUUCGGAGUGGCCACCCGUUCUGAAAGUUUGAUUUUCUUCUGGUGAACUGGACAUCCUUUUAAUUACGUUUGAGGUUUUGGGCUUUUAAAUGUAAUAAGGCCGCUUAUUUAUUUUUGAUGGUUUUUAUAUGUUUUAUUAAGAUAGGUAAUAUUUAUAUUUAACUGUUGAAAUUGGAUAGCUUUAGGGCGCGUUUUCAAAAACAGUAAUUGUUUUCAAAAUAACACGAAAACAAGCAAAGCUUCCGCAAUAAAGAUAUUUUUCAAAAUUAAUCACUUUUCCUAAAAAGGACUUAAUCAAAUCGGUUUCCUAGAAAUAUACAUGACGUUAAUGUAUGGCAAUGGUGGUUUGCAUGUCUAGGAUUGGAUCCGAAGGGAGUUUGGUACUUAAGCAGUCCGAUGGACUCACCUCCUCUUUUUCGGUUUCCUACCUGGUGCACUGCUUCCAUUCACUUUAACCUAUAAUGAAAUUAUCUUUUAAAACACUAAGUAAGUUUUUCUGGAUCAACAAUAUAAAAUGUUUUGAACGCUUCGAUGUGGCAUGUCAGAUCCGGUCAUAACGUCUGGGCCGGGUUUUGGGUGUUACAUUUGAUGACUUUCUUCUACCAGUAAUCCUCCUAACUUAAAGGAUUUGGAUAUAGGUGGGAAUAUCAUCGGUUCCCACUCCAUUUCUCCUCCAUUCAAACGCGUCUUUCUUCUCGCUUGGCGCAUCUCAAUUUCUUGCCUCUUGUGCUUAUGGUCAGGCUUGAAGCCCAAAUCAAAGCGAUCCUUCUUCUCAAUCAGUUUUGGGAUUUGAAUCCCUCAUUGCAACUGUCUUCCUAAUCCUUUUCCUGGCAAUGCUCCCUUCCCCAUCAUCAUUUGCAGGGCCAUCCUUGUGGCUCUAGACAUUUUGGGUGCCGGCACCUCACUUCCUUCCAAAAUGAAGGUUGCAUUGAUAAUUUCUAAAGAGCGGAAAGAACACUUAAUAGCCUCUUCAUUUGCCUCGACGUAAGGGAUCUUGCUAGUGACUACUGCUAUAAUGUCUUCCUCCGCAUUGAUGGUUAUUAACCGUCCAUCUGUCACUAACUUCAAUUUUUGGUGCAAUGAUGAGGGCAUCGCUCCUGCCGAGUGUAUCCAUGGUCUUUCCAAUAAACAAUUAUAGGAGGGCUUGAUAUCCAUUACCAAGAAAUCAACUUCAUAUGUAUUUGGCCUAAUUUCCAAAUGGAUGUCGAUUCGUCCCAUCACUUUCCUUUCAGUUCCAUCAAAAGCUCUUACCACGUUGUGACAUGUUUUCAUAUGCGAACUAUCAAUGGGUAAUCUAUUCAAUGUGGAUAAUGAAAGGACGUUCAAAGCAGACCCAUUAUCAACGAGUACACUUGGCAGCGUGUAUCCUUUGCAUCGAGUAGUGAUGUGCAAGCCUUUGGUUGACCCUAUGCCCCAGGUGGAAUUUCAUCAUCAUUGAAGUAGAUGAAAUUGUCAACACUGAUGUUAUUUACCAACCAGUCUAACUUGUUAACAGAUAUGUCGUGGGUGACAUAUGUUUCAUUAAGAACCUUAAAUAAUGCAUCCCGAUGUACCUCAGAACUUAUAAGUAGGGCUAAUACUGAUAUACGUGCUGGCUGUUUACGCAACUGUUCGACCAUACUAUACUCACUAUGCUUAAGGAACUUUAGGAACUCCUUAGCCUCCUCCUCCUUCACCGGCUCAUUGAUGGGUAUUUCGGUCUCUUUCUCCUUCUCAACCUCGACACCUUUUGUCUUUGUGGGUUCCACUCCGAAGCCCCCUGUAUCAUAAUGUUUCCCACUCCGCGUAUGGGAACCUUCAUUUUGCACGCCCCUAGACGCAUUGACUAUACUCUCCCCUUCAGGUACUGUUACACUGCAAUCAUAACUCCAUGGCACCCUCUUGCCAUCCUUAUAAGGGAAAGGAUUGGGUUUAUGGAUGGCAACCCUGGGUCCGGUUUGCGCCCCCACUUCAUUAUUCCCCGGUAAGGAAAUAAUAAUUCUUGGCCGGCUGGUUCCUUGUCGUUCAUUUUCCAGCACACAUAUUUGUCUUUUGUAAGAACUACCCUAAAAAAUCUGUAGAUCUUUGUUAAACAUAAGGCCUUGCACUAUGGCCUUGCACUAUGACCUUGAAAUCCUCACAAUUCUGGAUCAUAUGACCCACAUCUCUAUGGAAUUCACAAUAAUUCUCUAUUCCUUUUCUACCUUUUCCAAAGGUCAACAUACCUCUCUUCACCAUCUCCUCCCAUAUUACUUUCAUGGGUGUCUUCACCUCAGCAAUAUCUUCCUUGAUUCUCCCUUCCCUUGUUUCAUCGAUGGAAUUCACCCCUUGAUUGCCAUGAUCUGGUAACGGAUUUUCAGCAUUAGGGGUACUGUCAAAUUUCACAACCCCCAUCGUGAUAAGCCUCUCCACGGCCUUCUUGAAUCCGGUGCAAUUUUCAAUCGAAUGCCCCGGUAUUCCCGCAUGAUAUUCGCAUUUAGCAUUUGCAUCAUACCAUUUGGGGUACGGUGGCUGUAGCGGUUUCAAGUGGAAUGGAGCAAUGGCACGUGCAUCGUAUAAGCUUUGAUAAAUCUCACCAUACGUCACAGGGAUAGGCGUGAAUUGCAUCAUUUCUGAAUUCUGUCUUGUGCCCGAUUCAUGUCUUCGGGUAUUUUGCUGUUCGACCGCAGUUGCUUUGGGUUGACCAACUGUGAUUGCCAUCGAGUUGGUACUAUUCAUGUUAUUCACCUCGUUGUCCUUUCUCCUUAGGGCCGAUCUUUUAGCCAUUUCCCCCUCAAUUUUACCGCCCCUUAUGGCGUUCUCAAUCAUCUCUCCUGCCAUAACUAUAUCGCGAAACUUUUCGUGGUGCUUCCAAUCAUGUGAGUGAUAAACGGUGCCUUCAAAGUGUUGAUAAAUAACAUGGUGGUCUCCUUUUCUAACAGUGGUAGUUGUACUUGCAUUGCCACCUCCCUCCAUCAUUGUGCGUAUUGCCUAAAACUUUCAUUUGGCUUUUUCUCCAUGUUUUGAAGUGUGAUCCUGUCUGGCGUCAUAUCAGUCACAUGGUUGUACUGUUGCAUGAAGGCUUGUGCAAGGUCUCUCCAUGAAUUGAUUCUUGCACGGCUCAACUGAUUAUACCACCUAGCCGCUGCUCCUAUUAAGCUAUCUUGAAAACAAUGGAUCAAUAGUUGAUCAUUAUUCACAUACCAGUCAUUCUCUUACAAAACAUUGUUAUGUGUGCCUCUGGGCAAGUAGUCCCGUUAUACUUUUCAAACUCUGGCAUCUUGAAUUUAUGAGGAAGUACCAAGUCUGGAACCAAACUUAAGUCUUUGGCAUCAAUCCCAUGAUGAUUUCCAGCGCCUUCUAAAACCCUAAACUUCUCCUCCAACCACUUGCAACGAUCCUCUAACUGUUUUGAGGAUUUAGUUGCCAUUCUUUCCUUCUCCAUUAGAUCCAAAUCAGGAGUGAUAGGGUUGAUCAGGCUAUCGCCUAAAUUAUUUCCCGACCCAGAUGGGAAAUUCAUGGGGAUUCCAGCAUCAAUCAGCCUAUGUUGAGGUCUCACAGUGACAGAUGGCCUUCUAGGAGGUGUCUCGGUUUGCAGUGGCACAUGAGGGGAGUAAAACCUAGAGGAGGACCCUCAUUCUCCUCUUCAGUGAUUGCCAUGAGAGCUUUUCCUUUAUCAGUGGCCCUUAACAGCUGAGCCAUUUUAGCCAUUAUAUUCCUCUGAGCCUCUAGCAUUUGCUCCCUCAUGUCAUUCUAUAUUUUGGCCAACUGUUCUUGCAAUUGGUCUUGCAUAUCCUUUUGCAAUUGUUCGAACCUUUGAUCCAUACUCUUAGUUUUAGUGCGAGUGCCGUAAGGAUGUGUGAUUUCCAGAUUUUCUUUUCUAUCUCUCUGGAAGUAAACUUUAACUAAUUAGGGUCUUUCUAUAACUUUGAAUGCAUAUGAUGUGAUGUAAUGCAAAUGCAUGAAUGCAAAAAGGUAUCGAUCUCGAUUCAAUUUCAUUUAGAAAACUUUAUUUAGAAAAAGAAUAUCUUUACAUAUAAAUGGAUUACAUAUACGCCUUUGCCCUAAUGCCCAAAGUUCUAACUUUUUCUAACAAAAGGGCUAACUCUCGACCCUUAUCAGACGCUGACUCAUACAUCAUACUCAAAGCAUCAGCUCAUACUACUAAGUCUUGAACAUAUUCAACAACCUCUCGAAUCUGGGCUAAAGCUUUACCAAUGACGUGAUCCCUUUCUCCGACCUGUCCUCUAGAUUGCUGAAGCUCUCCCUUUAGAUAAUCUUCUCGCGCCUCGAGCUACUCAAUCCGAAGUUCACCAUCAUGCAAUGCCACUUCCAAAUCUUCAACUUUACUUCUUUGCUCUUUAAACUCGAUCGUAGGAUCAUGGUUUCGAUGCCAACGAAGGGAUCUUCCAAGCUCAGUUACCUUGGUCUUCAACCCUUUAUUCUCUUCCUCUAAUGCCAAAUUCUGUGACCGCAUCUCUUGGAACUUCCUCUCCCAAUACUUGGCUCUAGCUUUUUCUUCUUGUCUGAAGACCAUCCUACUCUGGCUCUCUACUUGUGCCUUUUUGUAAUGCUCCUUUAGAUCAUCUCGAUCUUCCUCAAUCUUCCUCUUUUCUUUCCUCUCUUUCUUGACCUCCAUCUUUUGAACAUCGACGUCUAAGCUCAAGUACAUCUUUUCUUCUUCAAGCUUUUCUAUCCUCUUCUCGACCUCAAAUUUCUUUCUCUCGAACUCUUGCUUCAUAAUUUCUAACUCCGAGGGCAUCACUUGCAAAUAUUCCUCUAUCGGUCGAGCUCCUUCCAUGCUUGGCUUAGGGAUGUUAUCAUUAAUCCUUCUGCCUCUCCAUUGAACAUACUCUGGAGUCGUAGCAGGGCUAAUAGCUACUCCUUUUAAUCGACAAGUCUUAUUCCAAGCACUAGAUAUCUCACUGACUUUCCUCUUGUAGUCAGCUUCUCUAUACACGAACUCACUUUGAGCCAGCCCAUGAGUUGCUAGUAUGAACUGCCUCAAUCCAAGCUGGCUCAACACAAGUAAAUGGGCAUAACCAAUGGCACCCCUAAUUCCCAACAGGGGAACCCAAUCAAAACUGCCGCAUCGGUAAAGAAUCUCACCAGGAAUCAUCCACGGAGCCCUCCACUCAACAUCUUUUGUCUGAAGGUUCUGAAGUAGCGUUAUCCAAUUUUCUUCCGAAAUAUCCACUUUCUUAGAUGAGGCUACUAUAUCUUUCAACGGUGAGUAAUCCUCGAAGAAGACCCGACAAACCACUUUGUCUAUCAAUCGGAAGUGACUGUAGAACCAAGCUAAAGUAACUGAGCUCAACCAACAAACCUGCUUGCACUGGCCCUCCUACAUGCAUUCAAGGACCUGAAUGUCUCUACCAAGAUUGCAGGAAUAGAAGUGACCUGUUUACUAAACUGACGCCUCGUCUACAUAUCCUAAGGCCCUGGGAAAAACCAUAAAUCCGUAUAAGCUUAAGGCAAAAAUGUCUACCCUCUUCGCCUCGUCUGGAUGCGUCUGGAUCAGUUCUUCCAGAGCCCCCCACGAAAUGCAUUUACUCUCACCCUUUUCCUUGAUUCUAGCCAUGAUCCACUGCUCACUCAUCCCCGUAAUGGUCAUCAGCUUCUUACCAAAGGCUGGGACACAAGCAGCUCGAGAAUAAAUCCUAUCACACUGAAAUCUAGGACACCGAAGUAAGGUGGUGUACUCCUCCACAGUAGGCACUAAAUCUACCUCCCCAAAGGUAAAACAACUGUAUGAAGGGUUCCAAACCUGAGCGAGAGCUCGAAACAAGUGCUCAUCAAUCUGAAUAUCAAGUAAGUGAGGUAAAUCUCCAUAAUUACCGUAGAAUGACUGUUUAGUCUUAUUGCCCCACUGAUCCCAAAUCUCCUUAAGCUCCUGCAGAUUAUUCUGUGUGACACUGAUGCGAGUGUAGUCUGACAGCUCCGACAUAUACCCCACAGCUAUACUAUCUCCCUUUUCUAGUUGAGUUUGCUCAGACUAUCUAUGGACAUUGGCGUUGCCCUCCACUCUAUCAAGAAGUCCGUUCUCCAUAAUAAAACUUCCUAACUUAGAAACUGACCUUGAAUCGAUACCUUUUAAAUGCAAAAUGACAUGCACAAAACAAAAGAAAAGAAAUAGUUAGUAUCACAUGAUAUCAAUAAAUCUCUGAUAUUUUAUAAGGGUAAUAUCCAAAGUUCAACUCUAACUAAGUUGGGCUCUUACGGUUUUUCGAUAUGUGGUUGGUUCUAAAGUUUGAGGUACCUGAACCAGCAAAUUCCUCGAUUCUCACCCAUUAUAGGCUCAUUUGAAACGAGUUCAGUUCAGGGGAAUACAUUUCCCUAUGGCUACACGGAGAUGAAAACCUCAUGAAACCAUAGGUACGGAUGUAUCCCGAACGUGAUCCACUAUCCUGCACGGAGACGAAAACCUCACGAAGGCGUAGAUUCUCACUCCCACUUAGGGGUGUGACCACAGCGGUCAUGCAAAUGCAAUGCGUAUCAGAAUAUAGCAACACAUGCAAUAAUACAAACACAUGUAAUGUAAAGAGGAUUACAUUUUAAAAUUUUAAUUUCCGACAUUAAGACAAGAGAUAAUCAAUUACACGGCUUAACUCUCUUAUUAGUCCCUAGUGGAGUCGCCAAGCUGUCGAGACCAUUUUUAAAAUCGAGUUUUGGAAAAUGGUAAUCGACUUUAAGAGAAACGAAAACGGGAGUCGCCACCAAUCUUUUUAGGUGCGAUUGGAUCACCUUUAAAACAUUUUGUUUUAAAAUCAUUAGUUUUGGUCUACAAAAUAAAAAGAACGGGUUCGGGAUUCGGUUACGUACGAGGAAGGAUUAGCACCCUCGUAAUGCCCAAAAAUUGAUACCUAAUUAAUUAUCAAAUGUCUUUAAGGUUGGAAAUUUUAAAAAUUUUAAGAUACAAUCCUCUUUAAAAUAUUUUGAUUUUGAAAAUUGGGAUUCACUUGUAUCAAAAUAUUGACAUUAAGUUAGCCUUUUUGGAAAUCCCUAUCUGGAAACGACAAAACGCCACAUCCAGUAAGUUAGGACACAACGCUUUGAAAUUCCAAGACAGUUGCUCGUAUUUUGAAAAUCUUAAAAAAAACUUAGAAGGGUACUUGACUAUUCGAACUCAACGAGAAAAGUUGCAACCCAAUAAGUUAGGGCACUAUUUUUCUCGAAGCUUUCAAAUACCAAGCAUUGCCUUUUUAUUUUUGAAAACUUUGAAGUCUCUUUUUUUAAAAUCGAUGCAUGAAGGAGCAUAUUAACAUAACAUACGAGAUAACAUGUUAUAAUAAUAGGUAAGUAAAAGCAUAACAGCAUAAAUAUCAUACACUAACCAACAUAUAUAAGAAAUAAAACAUGACAAUAUUUAAAUAAGAAAAAUAUACAUAAAACACAAUGCAUAUUUAAGAAGAAUAGGUAAAAAUCCCUAAACAUAUAAUUCAACAUAUAUUUAAACAUAAAUGAUGCAUGAUAUACAAUUUUAACACAUAUAUAAAAAAAAUGCAUUUGAAAAUAAAUUAUAAAAGUCUAAGGUAUUACAUAACAUAUAAAAUACAUAACAUAACAAUAAUACAUUAAUUCUAAAGUAAAAGCAACUAUCGUAUAAUAAUAAUAACAUAAGUUUUUAAAAAAUAUAUGUAUAAUACAAACGAUUGAUAAAUAGAAUGAGCAUAUAUAAAAAAAUGUGAUAUAAUAAAUAAUAAAAAUAUUUAUAAGAAUAAUAAUUAUAUAAAAAUAUAAAAUAUAAUGAUUUAGAAAAACAUAAUGUAUAAAAUAUCAAAUAUGAAAAAUUUAUAUUUAUAAUAAAAUAAUUGUAUAAGUUUAGAAUAAUAUGAAAUAAGUAAUUAAUGAUGAAAUAUAUGUAUUACAAAUUAUUAUAUUAUAGUAUCUUCAAAAUGUGUAAUAAUAGAAUAUAAGUAAAGUAAUUAUUAACAUAUAAAUAAAAAUAAGUAUAUAAUACAAGUUAAAACUUUUAAUGAUAAUAAUAUAUUGAUAAAAAUAUAUAUAAUGGUAUAAAAGAUGACAUAAUAAUAUAAAAUAAUUAUAAUAUAUAAUAUGAAAGUAUAUAUGUAAAAAUAAUAUAUAAUAUAUUAAAUAAUAUAAAGAAUACGUAAUACAAGUAAAAAUAUAAUAAUAAUAUAUAAAUAAUAAUGUAAAAUAAUAAUAGUUUGUAAAAAAUAAUAUAUAAUAUAUAAUACAUAAUAAUAAUAAUAUAAAAUAAUGUAUAAUAAAAUAAUUAUAUAAUAUAUAAUAUAAAGAUAUAUAAACAUUAUGUGAUAAAAAUAUAUUAUAAUAAAUAAUAAGUAAUGAUAUAUGUUAAUUAAUAUGAUAAUAGAAAGAUAUGAAGUAAUAUAAUAUAAUAAAAUAUAAGUAAAUAAAUUAAAGAUAUAUAAUACGUAUAUUCAUAUUAAAAUAUAAUAGUAUAUGUAUAAAGUUUAAAAUAAAUAGGUCAUAAAUACAUUAAAAGGAUUAAAAUUUUUAAAAAAAUGAAAACUUUGGGCUAAUUAAAAGAAUAUAAAAAGAAUCUGAGACAAUUAGGAAAACACAUAAAAACCGAGGGACUUACUGGGCAAUUGGCCCUAAUCCCAAAACGCCACCGUUUCUCCAAAAUACUAUUUAAAAUCACCAUUUGGACUAAAUUGGAACAUAGGUAAACUGUUAGGGCCAAAUUAGAAUAUAAAUAAAAUAAAAUUAUAAACAUUAAAAAAAUCGAAAGGACUAAUUGGGUAAUUAACCCAAUUUUAAAAAACACGCGGAUCCUCCUCAGGUAAUCGGGUCAACGCGCAGAUCCUCGCCUUGAAACGACGUCGCUUUAGGCUUAUUGAAUUAAGCUAAAACGGCGUCAUUUUACUGAUGUUAUAAAAGUAAAAAAAAAAAACUUUAAACCUUCAUUUUAAACAUUCAAUCAGAAAAAAAAAGAAAGAAAGAGCUUUAAAAAAAAUCUCUCAGAGCUCUGGCCAGUGGCCGUCCUAGCUUGUCCCGGAGCUCCACCGCCUUCGGCCACACGUGCUUCACGUGCCCCCGCUGACCUCGCCAUGUACGGCAGUCAGUGUUUCGUUUUACGGUGAAAAAAGGUAACUUUAUUAUCCUUUAGUAUUUAUCAGUAUAUAUUUAGAAUAGAAAGAAAAUAAAAUAAAAUGAAUCACCUCUUCUUUCAAUUGACUGUUGGUCUUUGCUGUGUAUGUAAAAAUAAACUUUUUAUUGAUUCUGUAUAUCUAUUCCAAAACUUGAGAAUCGGUCCUUUACAUUUUCUCGAUUUGGGCUUUUUAUAGCCACUGUUUACAACAUAUUUUGGUAAGGAAUCUUUAUUUUCUUCCCAUUUUGUUUGUUAGCUGCUGUUCUUUUUUCCUUUUUUGCAGGUAUUCGUGAGGAAAAUUCGGCGUUUGAUCGCGCUGGUAACGUAGAUCUGUCAGUGGCGGUGAUCAUGGCGUGAUUUGGAGCCCAGAAUCGUGGCUAUGAUGAGUAGCUGGAACGACAGGCAUUGAGGAGACGCGUUGAUUACGGCGCCUAGGGUUUCUGAAACCCUAGGCUUCUCUGUCUUCUGUUUAGCAACUUGGGCCAUUUGGGCCCUGUUUAUUGUUGGGUUAAAAUGUAAUAGGGUAAUAGGUUAAUUGGAUCUUGUACGGGUUAUUGGGUAGUUUUAGCUGGGUUACGGGUUAGUGGCAUUUGGGCUGCUUAUUGUAACUGGACUUUAAUAA